GAUGAAGAACGCAGCGAAGUGCGAUAAGUAAUGUGAAUUGCAGAAUUCAGUGAAUCAUCGAAUCUUUGAACGCACAUUGCGCCCGCCAGUAUUCUGGCGGGCAUGCCUGUCUGAGCGUCAUUUCAACCCUCAUGCCCCUAGGGCGUGGUGUUGGGGAUCGGCCAAAGCCCGCGAGGGACGGCCGGCCCCUAAAUCUAGUGGCGGACCCGUCGUGGCCUCCUCUGCGAAGUAGUGAUAUUCCGCAUCGGAGAGCGAUGAGCCCCUGCCGUUAAACCCCCAACUUUCCAAGGUUGACCUCAGAUCAGGUAGGAAUACCCGCUGAACUUAAGCAUAUCAAUAAGCGGAGGA
rnacentral:misc_RNA from 1 species